AUGGAAAGGAACUUGCCUUUCAGAAAAGACUUCAUAUGCAUUCAGGUGGUCACUGGACAUGUCACCAGGGCUGGCUGCUCAAAUGCUGAUGCAGUGCACGUGGGAUUCAUCUGCCUUUAGCUUCUGACAUUGGCAAAGGUUCUGUGUGAAGAUGUUGCAUGUUGACUGAAGAAGUUGUGUUCGCUUCUGCUGGCUGUUGAAGAGAUGGGUAGUUGGUGAAGCAAUAUAUAAGUUUUCCUGGCAUAUAUGUUUGGAAGAAGAUGUUAAAAAACUGUAGAUGUGGGUAAGGGGCUUCACAACUCCAUAAUUCAAAUCCAUGAUUUUCAAUUGUAUACUCACUAUUGGUACAGGAGCUGUUGUGAGCUCCUGUCUGGACUGGAUAAAAGACCCCAGUGUUGAUUAGACUGUGAUGAAACACAAAACACAGACUAUUCUUGACAGAGAGCUAAGUACUUCUUAUUUCAAUGACAUGUAAAAUUAAUUAUGGGAUCUUUUUUUCACUCACAAUAAAGUGAACAGAACAGGAUGCUUCCUACAAACCCUUUGCUUAUGACUAUCCAGUCAAUAUUUAAACUUCAAGUUCAUACAGAAUUUCUCUGCUAACAUAGGAGUGCACUGAAGUAUGCAGUUUAGUCCCUUAUUGUACAGUGGCUGGGUGAUUUCCCCUGCUUUUAUUUUCCUGCAAUUUGGUGUACUUCUGACAAACCACAAAGAAAUGCAAAUACAUAAUUUUCAUAUUUCUAGAUAAGAAAUAACUAAAAAACAGUAUCAUAAAACCUUGGAAGUCUGUGUCUUCUCAGCUUAAAAAACAUUUGCGGAGACAUCAAGCAAAUAAUAGUGUUCUGUUAUGAUUCGAAAUAUGAACACAUAGAAAUUACACAGAAAAAAUGUGGC